rfam:Gossypium arboreum cultivar AKA8401 contig_7260_5, whole genome shotgun sequence.
UGUUAAAAGUUUCAUCCAUUGUUAAAAACUAACAUGGCUAACAGAGUAACCAAAAAGUGACAUGUGCAAUGCCACAUGUAUCUCAUACUGAUGUAUAUGGAUUAAUUUUUAACUGUAGAAAUGGAUGAAACUUUUUAACA